AUUGGGCUUGGUUCAGUUAGAGCUAGCUUUCAU
rnacentral:sRNA from 1 species